rnacentral:lncRNA from 10 species
CCCUCUUAGCACGUCUGCCAUCUCUUCCUGCUCUGGGUGUCACUUAGCUCUGAAAACAUAGGCAUCGGAGUGUAGCAGACUGACUCAGAGUCCUCCCAAGAUGCAGAUUCUACUGAAAUCCAAACCCAAGGGGUCUACAAAAUGGGAUGUGAAAUGUCUUACUCUAUCCCAUGGGGCCACUGUCUUGUGUGAUUGCUGAAAAAACUGCUGAAAAAAGAGGCUCCAUAGAGAUGUCUAUUCCAGUUUCUCCAGUCUACCUUGCACAUCCAUAAUUUCCCCCAGAAAUGAAGAUUGCAAAUCAUCAAAAAAAAAAUGCCUCCCACAGUGACUUCCUGGCCCCUGAUCUUGUUCCAC